rnacentral:rRNA from 1 species
AGUAACGGCGAGUGAAGCGGGAAAAGCUCAAAUUUAAAAUCUGGUGGCCCUUCCGCCAUCCGAGUUGUAAUUUAGAGAAGCGUCUUCCGCGCUGGACCGUGCAUAAGUCUCCUGGAACGGAGCGUCAUAGAGGGUGAGAAUCCCGUCUUUGGCACGGACCCCCAGGGCUUCUGUGAUGCGCUCUCGAAGAGUCGAGUUGUUUGGG